rnacentral:rRNA from 1 species
UUACGAGGUCAGGACACUGUGAGGAUUGACAGAUUGAAAGCUCUUUCUUGAUUCAGUGGGUGGUGGUGCAUGGCCGUUCUUAGUUGGUGGAGUGAUUUGUCUGGUUAACUCCGUUAACGAACGAGACCUUAACCUGCUAAAUAGUCACGCGAACCGGUCCGCAAGGGCUCAAAGUUCGCGGCUCGACUUCUUAGAGGGACUAUUCGCACCCGCCAGCGAAUGGAAGUUUGAGGCAAUAACAGGUCUGUGAUGCCCUUAGAUGUUCUCGGCCGCACGCGCGUUACACUGACGGAGUCAACGAGCGUUUUUCCUUGCCCGAUAGGGUUGGGUAACCUCCUGAAACUCCGUCGUGAUGGGGAUAGAUCAUUGCAAUUAUUGAUCUUGAACGAGGAAUUCCUAGUAGGCGCGAGUCAUCAACUCGCGCCGAUUACGUCCCUGCCCUUUGUACACACCGCCCGUCGCUCCUACCGAUUGAACGGUCCGGCGAGAACUCCGGAUGGUC